GUCCACGCCCUAAACGAUGUACACUAGUUGUUGUGAGACUUGAUCUUGCAGUAAUGCAGUUAACACAUUAAGUGUACCGCCUGGGGGUACGGUCGCAAGAUUAAAACUCAAAGGAAUAGACGGGGACCCGCACAAGCGGUGGAGCACGUGGUUUAAUUCGAUGCAAACCGAAGAACCUUACCUGGGUUUGACAUACAAGUGGUACUGAGAUGAAAGUUGAGGGACUGUAGCUUGCUACAGAGCUUGAACAGGUGCUGCAUGGCUGUCGU
rnacentral:rRNA from 1 species